rnacentral:rRNA from 1 species
AUUGAACGCUGGCGGAAUGCUUUACACAUGCAAGUCGAACGGCAGCACGGACUUCGGUCUGGUGGCGAGUGGCGAACGGGUGAGUAAUGUAUCGGAACGUGCCAAGUCGUGGGGGAUAACGUAGUGAAAAUUACGCUAAUACCGCAUACGAUCCAUGGAUGAAAGCGGGGGAUCGCAAGCCCUCGCGCGAUUGGAGCGGCCGAUAUCAGAUUAGGUAGUUGGUGGGGUAAAGGCCCACCAAGCCAACGAUCUAUAGCUGGUCUGAGAGGACGAGCCACCACACUGGAACUGAGACACGGUCCAGACUCCUACGGGAGGCAGCAGUGGGGAAUUGUGGACAAUGGGCGAAAGCCUGAUCCAGCCAUUCCGCGUGCAGGAUGAAGGCCCUCGGGUUAUAAACUGCUGUUGUACAGAACGAAAAGGUUUCUACUAAUACUAGGAGCUCAUGACGGUACUGUAAGAAUAAGCACCGGCUAACUACGUGCCAGCAGCCGCAGUAA